ACAGUGUAUGACCUAGGUAAAGACUCUCAGAUGGGGAGAUAAAGAGAUGGUUAGGAUACAGUGUAUGUCCUAGGUAAAGACGCUCAGAUGGGGAGAUAAAGAGAUGGUUAGGAUACAGUGUAUGUCCUAGGUAAAGACGCUCAGAUGGGGG